AAAAGCUAAAAAUGAAAAUAUUACUUGUCAUUGCUGCAAUAAAUUAGGACAUAAAGCAUAUGAAUAUAACUAUAGAAAGUCCAGUCAAAAUAAAUUGAGUAAUAAUCAUAAGCUUAAAUUCAAGAAAGUUUGGGUUCAAAAGGAACAUCAAGUACUAACCCUAAAGGACCCAACAUAGUUUGGGUACCUAAAGCUCAUUCUUGA
rnacentral:lncRNA from 1 species